AGCCAAGGCUGGGUCAUACUACGGGAACAGCGGACUGAAGGCAUCCACUGCCAGACCAUGAAUUAUCAACUGAAGCCAACGGUUAAUAUCCAGAGUCACACGUGGAGAGGAAGCAUCACAAUGAGACCAUACAACCAUAUAAUCUGUUCAAGUCCUAGAAGGUGUUGGCAGAGCUGCAGGACUGACCUAGGUCAAUGGCUGUGGGGAUUUGGGGUUUCUACAGCCAGCAUCACUGAUGGUGACAGAGACACACUGCUUCACACACAGCUGGCUUUCCUUUUUUUCUGAGGUACCAAGUGUUUGCCACCAACAGUGUAUCUAAGACACAAUGUCUGGCUAGUCUUUUGCUAUUAGAAAGGUGCAGCAUCUCACACCUGUAAUCCCAGCACUUUGGGAGACAAAGGCAGGUAGAUCACCUGAGGUCAGGGAUUCAAGACCAGCCUGGCCGACAUGGUGAAACCCCAUCUCUACUAAAAAACUACAAACCUUAGCCUGGCAUGGUGACACAUGCCUGUAAUUUCAGCUACUCAGGAGGCUGAGGCAGGAGAAUUGCUUAAAGCAAGGAGGCAGAGGUUGCAGUGAGCCAAGAUGGUGCUCCAGCCUGAGCAACAGAGUGAAACUCCAUCUCAAAAAAAAAAAAAGAAGUUUGUUCAUCUGGUUCUGGUAUUGACAGUCUGGUUUUCUUGACAUCUUUUCCUGUGACCUUACUCAGCCUGGCUUGAAUCCAUUGUUGAAGCUCGAGACCGUGUCUCCAGGUGGAGAGAGAGGAGACAGAGAGAAGGAAGUUGCUAUGGGGGUUUGAGCCAGCUGUGACAGUGAUGGAUAUGCACACAGAACACAACUCUCCUCCCAAAACCCCACAGAGAAGAGGCAAACAAUAGGUCCACCUAAGUAUCAUGGCACAAAUCUCUUCCAAAUGGACAUUAGCCUCCUGGAAACAACAGUGACUCUAUUAGCUCCUCUCUGAGCUAUUGAUCUUAUAACUAGGAAGUGGUAAGGAAAUUGCUUUCCCCUAAACAGAGAAGAGAGCGGCCUGUCAUUCUGGAUGUGUUUGGAUUCCACUUAUCUAGAACAUGGCACCCAGUUCAAAUGGUAUAGAACUUACUUGAACAGAACAGGGAAAGGCGAGGAGGCGGGAAAACAGCUGAGAUGACAGAGUAAGUGCAGAAAAUUCUUAGAAUCUUUGUGCAUGUAAUUAGUCUACAGCCUACUAUCUGCUUUUGUCUAACUUCGGAUUUCGAAAUAAAGAAAAUCAAACAAAAAAGAA
rnacentral:lncRNA from 1 species